rnacentral:rRNA from 1 species
ACUUACGGCCAUAAGACCCUGAGCGCGCCCGAUCUCGUCUGAUCUCGGAAGCUAAGCAGGGUCGGGCCUGGUUAGUACUUGGAUGGGAGACCGCCUGGGAAUACCAGGUGCUGUAAGCU